UUAAAAGCAGAGGAACCGGCCACGCAAAAUAGGGUGUGCGCUUGCGACCGAGGUCGGAAAUGCGGCUUGACAACGUUUCCGUCUUUCGUGCAAGGCCUCAAUCUCCCCCUCUGCGAGGUUCGAGCUCCUCAGGGCAAGAGAUCGAGCAGAGAUGAACUCUGUCCAGCACCUUCUACUUCCUUCCUUCAGAACGAGACAAGAAACGAGCCAUCUCAAUAGCGUGGCCUUUUGAAGACAGGUGAACCAAUUAGGUUUCUGACAGUUUCUAUCUCCCUUUCCACUUCUUCCUCUCAAAAUAAUCACAUCAGGCUUUGAAACCAAAUGUCUAGGAACAGGGACACAGCCUGGCGGAUGUCAAGCGGCUACGGAAAAAGUAUCGAUAAGAAACGCCCACCUGACCAAGGGGAGGAGCAGGCCCCCGAGGCCAAGACACUAUCUUUAGGAGCCGGUGCUUGAGAUUUCCAGGGAUGUGGCCAUGUCCAGUCCCCUCCUCCCGACCCCCCAAAACAGGGGACAUCGUUGUCACCACAUGUGCCCAGUAGCUAAAAAGACGUGACCCGAGCUCUCCCAGUUCCGGGGAUGAACGAAAGCAACAGUGCCAUAGCACCUCUCCGCCUCGUCCGGUCCCUCCACCCCCCCACCCUCGGCCCAGCAGACCUCACCAUUGUCUCCGUGGUGAACUUCCCCGGAAACCAGUGCUGAGGAAGGGCUAUUUUCGUAACACCGGGAUACAACACCUGAGUGAAGGUCGGAGGUGGAUUUUCAGAGCCCAAAGGCCUUGUGCUCGUUAACGGUGCACGGGGCAGCGGUCUAAGAGAGAGAACCUUGCCAGGGAGUCAGGGACAAAAGGUCCCAUUUCCCACCAGGAAAAAGGGCACAAACCUCGCAGAGAAGGCAAAUACUAACACAUGCGCUGUAAAGAAAAUGGACUUCACCGCCUACAAGAGAGACCUGAGCUCGCUCAGAAGGCACUUCCCAGAGAGAGUCCAGGCAGCCCAAGCGCCGGAAUGGUCUCAUGACCCAACCAUGCACUUGGGAUUGGGAUGGACUGCUGGGAACUUUAAGUGCCCCCGGGACCUGAAGAUCCAGAUUUAGGAGCAAUGCAUGUAGGGCUGAUGACAUACAGCUGCAAAGUAAUACUCUUUGGUUCCUCAUUUUGCUCCAGAUUCCUCACCUACAUACAGUGUGGGUAGUAAUCUCUGACUUACCUAGAAGAUAGCAUAAGGAUCAAGCUAAACACUGCACAGACAAGUAUUUUGCAACACGUACAAAUAUAUGCUUUCACCGCCAUAUGUGCUGCCUGGGUGAAUUAUUUUUACGGAGACCUGGGAAAAGUGGCUCUUGUCAUCUUUGUCCAACGGACGACUCUCGAAGACUGUCCAGCUGUGAGGCAGGUGACUAAUAAUCUGUUCCCUUCGAAGCGAUAUAUUGAUAGCAAAGGACUUGUCGAGACUGAGCUGAUGCAAGACCAAAACUGAGCAAAUACGUAACAUCUCGGAGCCUCGAGUUUCCACAUCUGUCAAAUGGUACCAAUAACUCAGCCCUCUCAGGUUUCCAAAGAUUAAAGGAGGUUGCGUAUGUCAACAGCUUUCUCACGAGGAGAACUUGAGGCAUGUCAAGGCUCUUGUUCCUUUGUUUUGCAUUCAAGCACUGGAAUUAAAAAACGUGAAAGAAUAGACCGUUCGCCCCGGGCCUGAAAUUCUCAAAGAAGGUAUGGGGGCCAAAGAUCUCCCCAGGCAGAAAAUGCAUGUCCCCCAAAGGGAGAAGGCAGGCCUGAUCCAGCUUUGAUCGGGGACCCUGGCUGAGACUCACCAUGGAAGAGUCAUUCUUGGGGUCCACCUGAUUCUCAGUCCAGACCCUGGCCCCUUGGAAUGCCGUCCAUCUCCUAAGGCCAAGUCCUCCCUCCUUUGUAAGAUAAUCUCAGGCCUCCUCGCUUGCAAUCUCCAUGGUUUGCCCAGUUCUCCCACCUUUUUAAAAAAUUUUUUUUGGUUUCACUAUAAAAUAUACUUGAGAGUU